UACGAAGGGGGCUAGCGUUGCUCGGAAUCACUGGGCGUAAAGGGUGCGUAGGCGGGAUUUCUAAGUCAGGGGUGAAAGCCUGAGGCUCAACCUCAGAACUGCCUUUGAUACUGGAAGUCUUGAGACCGGAAGAGGUAAGUGGAACUGCGAGUGUAGAGGUGAAAUUCGUAGAUAUUCGCAAGAACACCAGUGGCGAAGGCG
rnacentral:rRNA from 1 species